CUUUAAUAAGCAAUAUUACAUGGGUUGUCUCUUAGCAAUCAAUACACAUUCGGAGAAACAAACUUUCCCCAUUAUACUGCUCAAUUUCAAUUUUGUUUCCUUGUAAUAAUAAUAAUAUUAAAUGUUUUUUUCCAUUGUUGUUAUAUCAUUUAUGUUUUGGCGAAUCUUUCCAUUGAAUGCUUUCUUGGGUAUCUCUUUUUUUCCUCUUAAUGUAAUGUGACAUAAAAUAUGCCCAAGGACUCUAAUUCUUCCAUUCGUUGUGUGAAAUAGACAUUUAGAGAAACAAGAAGCCUCGUUUUGAACAUCGUGGUGUAGACGUGCACGGAUAUAUCCAUUGAACACAAAUAUAAACUUUGGGAGAUGGCAAAAAAAAAAAAAAGGAAAAGAA